GAUGAACGCUGACAGAAUGCUUAACACAUGCAAGUCUUUGGCGAAGCUGUGCCUGCACAGCCUAGCCAAGGCGGACGGGUGAGUAACGCGUAAGGAACUUGCCCUGCAGUCAGGGAUAACAGACGGAAACGACUGAUAAGACCUGGUAAAGUCAGGCGGACUCAUGUCCAGCCUGAUGAAAAGUGAUGCUGCAGGAGAGCCUUGCGUCCUAUUAGCUUGUUGGUGGGGUAACGGCCCACCAAGGCGAUGAUAGGUAGCCGGCCUGAGAGGGUGGACGGCCACAAGGGGACUGAGAUACGGCCCUUACUCCUACGGGAGGCAGCAGUGGGGAAUAUUGGACAAUGGGGGCAACCCUGAUCCAGCAAUUCUGUGUGCACGAUGAAGGUUUUCGGAUUGUAAAGUGCUUUCAGCAGGGAAGAAAAAAAUGACGGUACCUGCAGAAGAAGCGACGGCUAAAUACGUG
rnacentral:rRNA from 1 species